rnacentral:sRNA from 1 species
AUGCAAAUCCACUUUUCUUCCAUGUCAUCGCUUAAGCAGCAGAACGAAAAAAGGGAGGAAAAUAUACGAGAUCUGGGAAGAAUUUUCAUGGAAGUAGUGGAGCAGAAUAAGAAUUUGAAAGACGCUGUGCACAUCUCGGAACAUGCACGACAGGAAAUAAAGGCGGACUUUGAAAUUCAGCAAAAAUUGCUGAGACUGAUAAAGCCCCGCACUCAGACUCAAUUGAUUCCUGAAUCAGGCAGCCAAAGAAUCAGACUCGAUGGGCGUAUUCUGGAGAAUAUUGAUGAAUCUAGCAUCCAUAAAAAGGAACGCUCUAUUGCUCAAAGCACAUCACCAAAAAGUCCACGUGCGAAAAACGAGAUGGCACCUAACAUCGGCGAAGUUGUUCCUAAUUCAAGCCAGUCAAGCAAUGAUGCUGUGGACAGUGAUUCUGCGGUCGAGUUUGACCAGAAGCUGUCGGCAGCUCUGAGGACUUUGGGCACAAGGGUUAUCGGGGAAAUUGCAUUCCAGCUGGAUAGAAGAAUAUUGGAAACAGUGUUCCAACCAAACACGUCACUAUCCUAUGGUCAAUCGAAGAAAAGCCGAUUUUAUGGUUAUAAUUCUUAUAACAAUGGUGCCCUAAUUCCGAAGGAAACUUUGAGGGCUGAUACAACAAGAGAUUUACGGAAAGAAUCGUGUUAUCGCAAACGCCAUGAGAAGUUGUUAAACCGUAUCAGAGACCAUGGAUACAACAAAAUGAUACACGAGUAG